UUGUGUGAUGCUGAGGAUACGAUUGAUCCCAUCACCCAGGUCUGAACUUCUAUAGGCUGCAGUCUGCCUGAUCCUCAGCAGGAAAUUUCUGCUUCAGGCUGCAGUAAUGCAGCAGCCCUUCUUUUGCUGCCUAGCUCUAUCCAUCAAGAAUGAAGUCAAAUUGUCAAAUGUCGUGUUGCAGAGGAGAUGCCCCUAAAAGAAGGUCUGAUGUUUUACAUUCUUGUUUUCCACUGUAAUGCAUCCCAGGUGAAUCUUGCUCUUAAUAAUCUACCUGCAAUCAAACCCCUGUAUUACAGUCUGCUUUUGUGGAACUCAGACUAAGACAUUCUCAUUGCAGUUGCCAUCAUCAUCAUCAUCAUCAUCAUCAUUUUCACCUUCAUUUUCAUAAGAAACACAGAUUAAGUAUGUCCUAUGUACCAAACACGGUUCUAACUACUUGAGAUUUAUUAACACAUUUAAUCUUCUCUAAAAUUUUUUGAAAUAGCUAUUAUUGUCAUCGUUAGUUUAAAGAUAAGAAAACCAAAGUGAAGUACAAAACAAUUAAAUAUAUAGUCGAAGCUGUGACACCAGAAUUUGCACUCAACCAAUGUGGUAUACAAAUUAAAGCUUUACUUUCUUUGUAGGUACAUCUGCAUAGUUUGUAAGAUGAUCUAAAACCAUGGCUUUUUCCUUAAAACAUGUUGAUGCAUACAUUUUUGUCAAUCUUCACAGUUAGACUCACUUUGGUCUUCACUCAAGGGAACCCAAACAGACAUUUCUGCUGUACCUUUCCAACACUUCAAGUUCAUGUGUGCACAAACCCUAUAAGACCUGGGGAUGACAGGUGUUUCCUGAGAUGAUCAGUCACAUUUCAUAUAUUGGACUGAUAAGCAGAUCACUCAACAAAGAAAGCCCAACUUGAAUAUGUUUUAAGAUCCUAGCUUCAGGUAGGUCUUGAUAGGUCCCAUAUGCUUGUCAUUUGGUAAAUUUAUUAAAAUAGCCCAUUUUGGAAAGUAAUGCCAUGGCAGAAAUUGAUUACUUUCUAUUCUUAGCCAAGCUUUUGACUUCUUGAACAGCAUCAGUGAUGAAGUGCACAUUUAGUAAGUAACAUGUAGUUUACUAAUGACUCAGUAUUUACGUAUGUAGCAAUAUUAAAAUAUUGCAUUAUCAUGUAUCAUAAUACAUACAAAAUCUGUAUAUAUUUGUAUGCAGAUAUACUUACUUAUUCUAACUGUAAGAAUAUAUUUAUUGCCUCUGCCUUUUUUCCCAUCUCUCCCUGUGAAUGCUGGUUUUUGAAAGCCAUUAAAAAACAAAAAUCAAAAACAAAAAUAAAAAAACCACUACACUUUGAAAAUGUUAAGAUGAGAACUAGAUUCAUUGAAAGAGUACAGAUUCUGAUAUUGCUCAGGGCACAAAAAAAUGAAGUUUCGAAAUUAAAGAAAAGCUAAAGAAGUAAAAAUUUGUCAUGGUUUGAGGUAUUAAGACAUUGACGUUCACAUGUAUAUUUGGUGGUUUAUUCAAUGCCAAAAUGAAUGUUCACUGUCAGGGAGAUUCUUCGAGUGAUACAUAACUGUUGGCUUAG
rnacentral:lncRNA from 1 species